rnacentral:rRNA from 1 species
UCAAGUGAAGAAGCGCAUACGGUGGAUGCCUUGGCAGUCAGAGGCGAUGAAAGACGUGGUAGCCUGCGAAAAGCUUCGGGGAGUCGGCAAACAGACUUUGAUCCGGAGAUCUCUGAAUGGGGGAACCCACCUAGGAUAACCUAGGUAUCUUGUACUGAAUCCAUAGGUGCAAGAGGCGAACCAGGGGAACUGAAACAUCUAAGUACCCUGAGGAAAAGAAAUCAACCGAGAUUCCCUUAGUAGUGGCGAGCGAACGGGGAUUAGCCCUUAAGCUUCAUUGAUUUUAGCGGAACGCUCUGGAAAGUGCGGCCAUAGUGGGUGAUAGCCCCGUACGCGAAAGGAUCUUUGAAGUGAAAUCGAGUAGGACGGAGCACGAGAAACUUUGUCUGAACAUGGGGGGACCAUCCUCCAAGGCUAAAUACUACUGACUGACCGAUAGUGAACCAGUACCGUGAGGGAAAGGCGAAAAGAACCCCGGAGAGGGGAGUGAAAUAGAACCUGAAACCGUAUGCGUACAAGCAGUGGGAGCCUACUUGUUAGGUGACUGCGUACCUUUUGUAUAAUGGGUCAGCGACUUAUAUUCAGUGGCAAGCUUAACCGUAUAGGGUAGGCGUAGCGAAAGCGAGUCUUAAUAGGGCGUUUAGUCGCUGGGUAUAGACCCGAAACCGGGCGAUCUAUCCAUGAGCAGGUUGAAGGUUAGGUAACACUGACUGGAGGACCGAACCCACUCCCGUUGAAAAGGUAGGGGAUGACUUGUGGAUCGGAGUGAAAGGCUAAUCAAGCUCGGAGAUAGCUGGUUCUCCUCGAAAGCUAUUUAGGUAGCGCCUCAUGUAUCACUCUGGGGGGUAGAGCACUGUUUCGGCUAGGGGGUCAUCCCGACUUACCAAACCGAUGCAAACUCCGAAUACCCAGAAGUGCCGAGCAUGGGAGACACACGGCGGGUGCUAACGUCCGUCGUGAAAAGGGAAACAACCCAGACCGCCAGCUAAGGUCCCAAAGUUGUGGUUAAGUGGUAAACGAUGUGGGAAGGCUUAGACAGCUAGGAGGUUGGCUUAGAAGCAGCCACCCUUUAAAGAAAGCGUAAUAGCUCACUAGUCGAGUCGGCCUGCGCGGAAGAUGUAACGGGGCUCAAACCACACACCGAAGCUGCGGGUGUCACGCAAGUGACGCGGUAGAGGAGCGUUCUGUAAGCCUGUGAAGGUGAGUUGAGAAGCUUGCUGGAGGUAUCAGAAGUGCGAAUGCUGACAUGAGUAACGACAAUGGGUGUGAAAAACACCCACGCCGAAAGACCAAGGGUUCCUGCGCAACGUUAAUCGACGCAGGGUUAGUCGGUUCCUAAGGCGAGGCUGAAAAGCGUAGUCGAUGGGAAACAGGUUAAUAUUCCUGUACUUCUGGUUACUGCGAUGGAGGGACGGAGAAGGCUAGGCCAGCUUGGCGUUGGUUGUCCAAGUUUAAGGUGGUAGGCUGAAAUCUUAGGUAAAUCCGGGGUUUCAAGGCCGAGAGCUGAUGACGAGUCGUCUUUUAGAUGACGAAGUGGUUGAUGCCAUGCUUCCAAGAAAAGCUUCUAAGCUUCAGGUAACCAGGAACCGUACCCCAAACCGACACAGGUGGUCGGGUAGAGAAUACCAAGGCGCUUGAGAGAACUCGGGUGAAGGAACUAGGCAAAAUGGCACCGUAACUUCGGGAGAAGGUGCGCCGGCUAGGGUGAAGGAUUUACUCCGUAAGCUCUGGCUGGUCGAAGAUACCAGGCCGCUGCGACUGUUUAUUAAAAACACAGCACUCUGCAAACACGAAAGUGGACGUAUAGGGUGUGACGCCUGCCCGGUGCCGGAAGGUUAAUUGAUGGGGUUAGCGCAAGCGAAGCUCUUGAUCGAAGCCCCGGUAAACGGCGGCCGUAACUAUAACGGUCCUAAGGUAGCGAAAUUCCUUGUCGGGUAAGUUCCGACCUGCACGAAUGGCGUAACGAUGGCGGCGCUGUCUCCACCCGAGACUCAGUGAAAUUGAAAUCGCUGUGAAGAUGCAGUGUAUCCGCGGCUAGACGGAAAGACCCCGUGAACCUUUACUGUAGCUUUGCACUGGACUUUGAGCCUGCUUGUGUAGGAUAGGUGGGAGGCUUUGAAGCGUGGACGCCAGUUCGCGUGGAGCCAUCCUUGAAAUACCACCCUGGCAUGCUUGAGGUUCUAACUCUGGUCCGUGAUCCGGAUCGAGGACAGUGUAUGGUGGGCAGUUUGACUGGGGCGGUCUCCUCCUAAAGAGUAACGGAGGAGUACGAAGGUGC